rnacentral:rRNA from 1 species
UACGUAGGGACCGAGCGUUGUCCGGAAUCAUUGGGCGUAAAGAGCGUGUAGGCGGCCAGGUAGGUCUGCUGUGAAAACUCGAGGCUCAACCUCCAGACGUCGACGGAAACCGUGUGGCUAGAGUCCGGAAGAGGAGAGUGGAAUUCCUGGUGUAGCGGUGAAAUGCGCAGAUAUCAGGAAGAACACCAAUGGCGAAGGCAGCUCUCUGGGACGGUACUGACGCUGAGACGCGAAAGCGUGGGGAGCGAACAGG